UACGUAGGGUGCGAGCGUUAAUCGGAAUUACUGGGCGUAAAGCGUGCGCAGGCGGUGAUGUAAGACAGUUGUGAAAUCCCCGGGCUCAACCUGGGAACUGCAUCUGUGACUGCAUCGCUGGAGUGCGGCAGAGGGGAUGGAAUUCCGGCGUGUAGCAGUGAAAUGCGUAGAUAUGCGGAGGAACACCGAUGGCGAAGGCAGUCCCCUGGGCCUGUAC
rnacentral:rRNA from 1 species